AGAUUGAACGCUGGCGGCAUGCCUAACACAUGCAAGUCGAACGGGAGUAGCAAUACUCUAGUGGCGGACGGGUGAGGAAUACGUAGGAAUUUGCCCUUAAGUGGGGGAUACCCGGGGAAACCCGGAUUAAUACCGCAUGACCUCGAAAGAGCAAAGUGGGGGAUCGGCAAGACCUCACGCUUUUGGAGAAGCCUACGUCGGAUUAGCUAGUUGGUGAGGUAAUGGCUCACCGAAGGCGACGAUCCGUAACUGGUCUGAGAGGAUGAUCAGUCACACCGGAACUGAGACACGGUCCGGACUCCGUACGGGAGCAGCAGGUGGGAAUAGUUGGACAAGUGGGCGACAAGCCUGAUCCAGCAAUCGGCCGCGUGUAGUAGAA
rnacentral:rRNA from 1 species